AGGUUUUUGGAAUGCCUAAGAGAAAAAACCAGCUCUUCUGCACGUGACUUCUUCACAUCGCUCAUGCCUGCUACAAUGAUGAUAGUAAUCGCUGUGGUUCACUGAAUACCCUGCCUUAUAUGUCAUUCUAAAUGCUUUGCAUAAUGAGUAUGAACCAGUGCAACUGUUCUGUGAGCAUCUUCUGUCCUGGGCAUGAGGAAAUAUAGAUAUUUAUUGACAUAGGAUGUCAGAAGAUCAAGGAAAAUUGACUCUGGAGAAGGAAGGAGGAGGGGUUUUAACUCUUUGCUCAGUCUCCCUCCCAUUGCUGCUGCAAGGAGCUAGAGAGCUUGGAGUGAAUGACAAUUUGGAGAAACAGCCGCAGCCUGAAGAUCUAAGAGGCUCUAAAGAAGAUGGAUAAGAAAAUCGAUGCAUAAUAAAAGCUGCAGGCAAAGCCACCUUGACAGAGGGCCGGCAGCUCUCUCUUACUGCCCUCCUUAGUUUCUCCAGGUUCAGGCCUCUGUGUUAACUACCAUCCUCUUUUUUUCCACCCACCUUUUACUCUGUGUGUGUGUGUGUGUGUGUGUGUAAGUAUGUGAGUGUGUGUGUAUGGGGUAUGUGUGUGUGAGUGUGUGUGUAUAAGUGUAUGAGUGUGUGUGUAUGGGGUGUGUGUGUGUGUAUGGUGUGUGUGUGUAUGGUGUGUGUGUGUAUGGUGUGUGUGUAUAGUGUGUGUGUGUGUGUGUAUAGUGUGUGUGUGUGUGUGUGUGUGUGUGAGGAGUGGUAUUUACCUUUGGAAUGGAAAAGGAAGGAACAUCUGGACAUGAAAAAUGUAUAUGAGAGGUGUGCAGGGGUGCUAGCAUGAAGGAGGGGAGAAGGGCAAGGCAAGGAUUAUGGAAUGCACUUUGAACAGGGGCUUGAAUUGCACCAUAAAGUAGUAUCUUUAAUAAAAACAAACAAAAAACCCCUAACAAUGGAUAUAGGAAGACAUGAUAUAAAACAUGUAAGUUAUCUUCUCUGCGGUGUUAAAAAAAAAACGAAAGCAUAAGCAAUACUCCUGAAAGGGGAGGGCUGGAGCAUGGCUUAGAUAAAUGAGACUCUGUACAUGUAACUAGCUUCUACUCACACAUAGUGGGGAUAUAGUAAGUACUACUUUCCUUGCUUUCUUAGAAGCUGGAAUGAAGGAAAGGAUAUUUUGGAGGUCGUUGCUGGCCUGAGACUCUAUGGAUCAAUUCUAUGAUUGCUAGUGUAUUUUAUUCUUGAUAUCUUCCCGUUUACAAUUGCAGGAAGUCAUUUAUGCUAUCAAACUUACCCCAUUUUGUUGAAAUUAAGACACUUAAGUAAUUGUCCAGCCAUCAUUCCUUAGUGUUCUGGAGCACCAGUUGGGGGUCACCCUGUCUACCUCUGAUUCAAGGUGUAAGUUGUAUGAGCAGCCAGUGAAUAGAAGUCCAAGUGAGGUCAAAUCCAUGUGUUCUUUGACAGUCACACUGACACCAUUGUGAAGGGUUUUCAUAAGGAGGUGGUUGUUCAGAGUUUGAAGUUCUGCCCUCUAGGACGGAGAGGAAGGAUCACGGGGUGGGAGAUGUGACUUUGAACAGUGCUGUUCCAGGGAGCUGUGUGAGCCUAGGGUGAGAGUUGGAGGCUGGAGGAACGCACUGCUGUCAUUGACUCUGGCUCAUGUGCUAAAAUCCCUUCUACUUUUUGCUUUCUCUCAAGCAGGGCAUCGGCUGUCGACAAGGUAUCUCUUUCCUGUCGUUCAAAGCAUGCCAGAAGCUCCUUUGUUUAAAGCAUGGCUUUCUGGAGUAGAGGAGUACCAGUGUCUUCCUGGGUCUCAUCCUGACGGGGCUCAGAUCUGGUCCCUGGUUGCUAACCCCUCCCCACCCUCAUAUGUCAGGUUCCACCCUUCCCUCUCAUUUUGCACUUAUCUUAGUCUCCAUUCUUAAUAAUACUUCUGACUUCUGUGGGAUAUUAUUAUUUAAUAUCUCAACCUAUAAUCUGAUUUUCCCCUGUUUGCUCCUUUGUCUCUUAUUUAUUAUAUCAGUGUGAUGACAUUAUGAGACUUUAAAGUAUAGGAAGACUAUGUGUAA